rnacentral:lncRNA from 1 species
UUGGGAGGCUGAGGCAGGAGAAUUGCUUGAACCCAGGUGGCAGAAGUUGCAGUGAGCUGAGAUUGCGCCACUGCACUCCGCCCUGGGCGACAUGGCAAGACUCCAUGUCAAAAAAAAAAACAAAAAAACAAAAAAACUCAGUCCCCAGCGAUUUUGGGAUUUGGAAUUUUUGCCUAUUCAUGUUCAGCUCCUCUUUCUGGCCAAGGUAACAAUGAGUUGCCUCCUGCAGGGUCCCUGCUGUGAAAUCAGGCCAUCCCGUGCUUCUCGAUCAGCAGGCCGCACCUCCAGGUCAGCUGAAAGGAGCCCAGAGCAUUUGAAUCCCAGCCCCAACUGGCAGCGGCCUUUGCCUUGGACAGAUGCCAUGUCUCUGAGGUGCAGACGGGCUGGCUCUCCAUUCAGGUGUCAGAGCAUUUGAGUGUGUGUGGUUUUCCAAGCCCUGGGUUUGUCAAUGGAGGGAAAGGUGCACAAGAUGUGGUCCGUGAGCUCUUGGAUCCUAGAAUGCUUGGGGAAGACAGGCCAGCCUCGGAGGCUCAGCCUGUGGUCCCAGCUACCUGGGGAGGCUGAAGUGGGAGGAUUGCUUGAGCCUGGGAGGUGGAGGCUGCAGUAAGCUAGGAUUAUGCUACUGCACUCCAACCUGGAUGACAGAGUGAGACCCUAUCUCAAAAAAAUAAAUAAAUAAAGGAAAGCAUCCUUGGUAGUGCUGAGUGCUGUGGGGACACUGUUGCAAUUGGGGAUGAGUGGCCUGGGAAGGCUUCCCAAGAAAUGGCAUUAGGGUGAGGCCAUAGGAAGUGAGGGAGGGGCUAGGCAGAGGAAUGAGCAGGCACAGAGGCCUGUAGCAGCAGACUGCACAGCGGCAGGAGCGGUCCUGGCGGCGCCGGGCCUAGGAGCCAUGUUGGGGUUUGGACUUGUGCUCUCUGAAGGUCUGAGAGGCCCUACUGGCUGCUGGAGGAAGACAAGGUGGGGGCAGCCAGGCUCCUUAGGAGCUCUCGGAAUGGUGCAGUCCAGAGCCAUAGUGUUGAAGGUGGAUAUGGUGGGGACGCUCCAAGACCAUGGGAGAAGAGGAUACGAGCCGGAGCUAUGGAAGAAGUGAACAUGUAAGACUCCAGAGGCAAACUGCCCGUCUAGACAGCUCUGGCCUGCAGAGCCCACCACUCCCAGGCCAGCGCCGUGAGGUCCUGUUGAGCCACCCACCUCACUGUGAUCAUCCCCAGGUAAACCCUCGGACGUGGGCCCGGUGCCCUCCUUGCUGAGGCUGAAGCCACGUGGCCAUGAAAACCUGAGCAUCACAAGCCGCUCUCUGCGUUUGUGGUGUGAUCAGGGCCUUCUACCACAAGCCAUGUGCCCAGGCUGAUCCUCUCUAAUGUGGAGAGGCGGCUGCGCUGGAAAGGCCUCAGUAAGAGCAGCUGGGCCCUUGCAGACAGACAUCACGGUGUGACCCUCGGGACUGGCUCCCUGCGGCCACUGCAGCACAGGUGUUCACAUCUCACAGUGGAGGCAGUGGACACCAUGCUCGCCUGCAGGCUCUCGGCGAGGCUCUGAGUCUGGCCCCUUGCGUAGCCCCUGGUGACUCCUUGGCUUCUGGAGCGGAACUCCAUCCUUCACAUGGCGCUUUCCUCGAGGGCCUGUGUGCGUGUCGUCUGUGGCCAAGUUCCUACUUCAUAAG